GGCUUUAGUUCUGAUUUUACAGAAGGUGCAGGUUCUGCUCAGGUCCAGCCUGAACUUAACCUCAACUUGGUGACAACAGAGGAGGUGAGGAACAAAACAGAAAAAGAAGGGAAAGAGGUGAUCAGGCCUCGCCCUCAUGGCCUCUUCCCAAGAGUUAUCAAGAUAAGUGUCACACAAACAACAGUUCCCAUGCUGGGGCACACAACCCUGGCAGGACAGUUUACAGAAUAAAUUACAGAUAUCCUGUCCCCAUAGCUGACUCAGUAGGCGCCUAAA